CGAAAGCCUGACGGAGCAACGCCGCGUGGGGGAAGAAGGUUCUUGGAUUGUAGACCCCUUUUCUCAGGGAAGAAGUUCUGACGGUACCUGAGGAAUCAGCCUCGGCUAACUCCGUGCCAGCAGCCGCGGUAAUACGGAGGAGGCAAGCGUUAUCCGGAAUUAUUGGGCGUAAAGCGUCCGCAGGGGGCUCAUCAAGUCUGCUGUCAAAGGUCGGAGCUCAACUCCGGGUCGGCAGUGGAAACUGGAUAGCUAGAGGUCGGUAGGGGCAAAGGGAAUUCCCAGUGUAGCGGUGAAAUGCGUAGAUAUUGGGAAGAACACCGGUGGCGAAAGCGCUUUGCUGGACCGAACCUGACGCUGAGGGACGAAAGCUAGGGGAGCG
rnacentral:rRNA from 1 species